rnacentral:rRNA from 1 species
CACAUGCAAGUCGAACGGGAAAGGUCGAAAGACUGGGUAGAGUGGCGGACGGGUGAGUAAAAUAUAGGUAUCUGCCCUUUAGAGGAGAAUACCAUCGAGAAAUCGGUGUUAAUACUGCAUAAGCCCAGAGAUGGGGAAAGGUGGCCUCAAAGCUACCGCUAAAGGAUGAGCCUGUAACCUAUUAGCUAGUUGGUGGGGUAAGAGCCUACCAAGGCAAAGAUGGGUAACCGGCCUGAGAGGGUGUACGGUCACACUGGAACUGAGACACGGUCCAGACUCCUACGGGAGGCAGCAGUGGGGGAUAUUGCACAAUGGGCGCAAGCCUGAUGCAGCGACGCCGCGUGGAGGAUGAAGGUUUUCGGAUUGUAAACUCCUGUUACGUGGGAAAAAAUGCCCUGUUUGAAUAAAGCAGGGAGCUGAUGGUACCACGAGAGAAAGCACCGGCAAACUUCGUGCCAGCAGCCGCGGUAAUACGAAGGGUGCAAGCGUUAUUCGGAAUAACUGGGUGUAAAGCGCGUGAAGGCGGUUUUAUAAGUCAUUUGUAAAAGAGCUCGGCUUAACUGAGCAACUGCAGACGAUACUGUAGAACUAGAGUG